AGUGAUGCAUGCUUAUGCCUGGAUGUACCAGGACUCUUAUUUCAGGACUUAGAAGUAACUGCCUGCAUUCUACAAUUUUAAGAUCGCUCGCCACUCUUAACGUAUUUGCCCAUUUUCUUGCACAGAUCUCUCCAGUACUUCUGAGCAACCAUCUUUCAAGCUUUCCUGUACCUACUUAUAAAGUCUGGCGCCUGGACUCUUUUUCCACAACUGACGCUUGGACUACUGCAGUCAUUUGCCAACAAGAACAGAGGUCCAGGAGUACCUGGGAGUUUAGUCCACAUACCCUUUCCCCAAUGACUGACUGCUGCCGGGGUAGGAAAGCCCAGCUUUCUUGCCCGGACUUUGACCAAAUUCUGAACCAUAAUUUAUACGGCAGUGCUCUGCUGCAUGAUCAUGCUGGAGCUGGAACUUCGCCUAAAAUCGCGUACAUUCUGGGUUUCUUCCUGUCUUGACCUGCUUCUCCCGCUCCCUUAUGAAUUUUUUUUCUGGUAGCAAAUUCUUAAUAAAUCACUUGCACAAGAAUCUUCAUCUAAGGUUUGAUUUUGGGGAACCCCACUUACAACAAUUAUACUAUACUUUUACUUUAUUUCUCCUAAGCUCGAGAACAUUACUUAAUUCAACAGGGAUUGAGUGAUAAAUAUGUGCUUAAUUCCUAGUAUGGAGAAUAUGUUAGUGGUAAU
rnacentral:lncRNA from 1 species